UCAAAUUCAUUCAUUGUAUUCAUAAAGGGUCAAGGAGUGUAGUUGUACAAAAUCAUCAAAAUCGGAGUUAAAACAACCACUAAAUCGUGAUUUUUUGUUUUAUAACCGUCGAAACGUUUUGUCUCAUUUCUUGAUCUAUGAAUGUUUUUUUUUGUGAUAUUUGGCGUAUGCGAUCUGGAAGCAUAUACAAACAAGUUUGACAGUUGGAUCGUUAAAAUUAGUUUCAUAGAAUUCGUAUCCCAUCCAAACGAUAGAUUCACUAACACUUACAAUUUAUUUAUCCUUUCAUUAAGUAUAACAUAAGAUUUUGUGAUAUCGACUUGUGUAAAUAUUUUAAAUUGACGAUCAAAUUCAUUCAUUGUAUUCGUAUAGGGUCAAGGAGUGU
rnacentral:lncRNA from 1 species